rnacentral:rRNA from 1 species
UACGUAGGGUGCGAGCGUUUGUCCGGAAUUAUUGGGCGUAAAGGGCUCGUAGGCGGUUUGUCGCGUCGGGAGUGAAAACUCAGGGCUUAACCCUGAGCCUGCUUCCGAUACGGGCAGACUAGAGGUAUGCAGGGGAGAACGGAAUUCCUGGUGUAGCGGUGAAAUGCGCAGAUAUCAGGAGGAACACCGGUGGCGAAGGCGGGUCUCUGGGCCGUAACUGACGCUGAGGCGCGAAAAGCUAGGGGGAGCAAACGGGG